rnacentral:rRNA from 1 species
UACGUAGGGUGCAAGCGUUGUCCGGAAUUAUUGGGCGUAAAGAGCUCGUAGGCGGUCUGUCACGUCGGCUGUGAAAACCCGAGGCUCAACCUCGGGCCUGCAGUCGAUACGGGCAAACUAGAGUGUUGCAGGGGAGACUGGAAUUCCUGGUGAUAGCGGUGAAAUGACGCAGAUAUCAGGAGGAACACCGGUGGCGAAGGCGGGUCUCUGGGCAACAACUGACGCUGGAGGAGCGAAAGCCGUGGGGAGCGAACAGG